GUUUUACCCAAAAAAAUAAAAUAAAAUCUGGUUUGAUGUGCAUAAUUUGUUAUCCCAAAAAUCCUUUUGAGUUGAGAAGGGAAUGGCGAGUCACCUUCCAAGUUCAUCUCUUUGCGUAUGGAGUGAUGUGAGGUUCCUAAAAAGGAAGGUGAAUCUAAGGCCAAUUGUAAGGAACAGCCAUGGAAAACCAUUCCCAGCUGAGGUAUCGAGAACCAUUCUGGAAUUAUCUUCAGUUGGCACUUUAUCCACACCGACCCAAGAUGGUUGGCCUUUAGGUAUUGCUGUACCUUUCGCUGUUGACCCUCAUGGAACUCCUCUACUCUUUCUCAAUCACUCAACUUCCAAUUUCGCUCUCAAUUCCAAGUCUAGCUUCCUUGUUCAGCUACAACAAUAUGGCUUGCGGACUCCACAGUGCACCAUACAGGGGACGCUACAAAAACCCACAGCUUUGAAGAUGCUUCAUUCUCUUUGGGAAAAUAGAUUUGGCCAUCAAGUAGAUGACGAUCGCUUAUUUUUGCUUUCUGUCGAACGGGUACUUCAGAUGGAUGAUUUUGCAGAGGAUGGAAUUUGGGUCACUUCAGAAGAAUAUAAGUCAGCGAACCCUGAUCCUCUUCGAGACUUCGCAGAAAGAAUGAUUGACGAAAUAAAUACUAACAAUAGGGAAGACAUCUUACGGUUUUGCAACAUCUAUCUAGAUUUGGAUUUCCAGGUUUGCGAUGGGAAGAUGCUUUGGGUUGAUAGAUUAGGUUUUGAUGUCCGGUUCAGUUCUCCUCUGAAUGAUGUAUUUGAAGCUCGUAUCCCUUUUCCGAGAGAAGUUACAGAUGAGAAGGGUGCAAAAUCAUCUUUCAACUGCAUGUCUCAAUUUGCUUGGGAAGUAGAAAAGAAUUUCCAUGCAGCAGAUUUUGAAAAGGUGAAACAAGUGAAAAAGAUGGAGCACAGAGGAGUGUGAAGAAUCCUGAUGGUUGUUAUUACAAUGUGGUGGAACAUGUUCCUGACUCCAUUGCUUUUGUUGGUGUUGAAAGACAUAUUUGGUUUCUUUCAGUAGCGUGGAAAAUCAAAAGAGACUAUCGUUUUGGUGUGUGUUGUUUUGCUUCCAACCAUAAAAUCCAUAAGAGUAGUUGUAUGUCAUCUAACCAAUUUUUCCUUUAAUUCCGGAUGACCAGAAUCAAGAUUAUUAUUGAUGUCCGAUUAAUUGUUUUUAUAUACUCUAUUAAAUCAAAGGACAAAUCAU
rnacentral:misc_RNA from 1 species